rnacentral:rRNA from 1 species
UGGCGGACGGGUGAGUAACGCGUGGGUAACCUGCCUCACACUGGGGGACAACAGUUAGAAAUGACUGCUAAUACCGCAUAAGCGCACAGGACCGCAUGGUCCGGUGUGAAAAACUCCGGUGGUGUGAGAUGGACCCGCGUUUGAUUAGCUAGUUGGUGGGGUAACGGCCUACCAAGGCGACGAUCAAUAGCCGACCUGAGAGGGUGACCGGCCACAUUGGGACUGAGACACGGUCCAG